GCUUCGACAAGCACAAACCGGCGAAAUGGCAGCACCAACAGUUGAAAAAGUUCAAGAAAUAAGGGAGGUAACAAGGAUCGAGCGAAUAGGUGCCCAUUCACACAUCCGUGGUCUGGGCUUGGAUGAUGCCCUAGAUGCCAGAAAUGUUUCACAGGGCAUGGUGGGCCAGACAGAGGCCCGGCGGGCAGCAGGGGUCAUACUGGAGAUGAUUAAGGAAGGAAAAAUUGCAGGCAGAGCGGUUCUAAUAGCAGGACAUCCUGGAACAGGGAAAACUGCCAUCGCUAUGGGAAUGGCUCAGGCCCUAGGAACAGACACCCCUUUUACGAGUAUUGCUGGUAGUGAAAUUUUCUCACUGGAGAUGAGUAAGACAGAAGCUCUGACCCAAGCCUUUCGGAAAUCCAUUGGAGUUAGAAUAAAAGAAGAAACAGAGAUCAUUGAGGGAGAGGUUGUAGAAAUCCAGAUAGACAGGCCAGCCACGGGAACAGGUGCAAAGGUUGGGAAGUUGACACUGAAAACCACAGAAAUGGAAACAAUUUAUGAUCUGGGUCAGAAAAUGAUAGAAUCUCUCACAAAAGAAAAAGUUCAAGCAGGGGAUAUAAUUACCAUUGACAAAGCCACAGGAAAAAUUACAAAGCUGGGCAGAUCCUUUACAAGAGCUCGCGAUUAUGAUGCAAUGGGAGCUCAGACCAAGUUUGUUCAGUGCCCAGAGGGAGAAUUACAGAAGAGGAAAGAAGUUGUACACACAGUGACGUUACAUGAAAUAGAUGUCAUCAACAGUCGCACACAGGGAUUCCUGGCACUGUUCUCAGGUGACACAGGAGAAAUUAAGGGCGAGGUACGAGAACAAAUUAACUCCAAGGUGGCGGAAUGGAGGGAGGAGGGAAAGGCAGAGAUUGUUCCCGGGGUGUUAUUUAUUGAUGAGGUGCACAUGCUUGACAUUGAAUGUUUCUCCUUUCUGAACCGAGCCCUGGAGUCAGACAUGGCACCCAUUCUGAUAAUGGCCACCAACAGAGGAAUCACCAGAAUCCGAGGCACACAGUACCAGAGUCCCCAUGGAAUUCCCAUAGAUCUCCUGGACCGACUACUGAUCAUCUCCACCACCCCGUACCAGGAGAAGGAAAUCAAACAGAUCCUCACCAUCAGGUGUGAAGAGGAAGAUGUAGAGAUGAGUGAUGAGGCCCUGAUUGUGUUGACCCGGAUUGGAAUGGAGACCUCCCUCCGAUAUGCCAUACAGCUCAUCACCACAGCCAACCUUGUUUCCAGGAAACGAAAGGGUACAGAAGUUGAUGUGGAUGAUAUCAAACGUGUUUACUCCCUUUUCUUGGACGAAUCUCGAUCCACACAGUUCUUAAAGGAAUACCAGCAGGAAUUUAUGUUCAAUGAAUUAGACAAUAUGAGCUAAACGAAAAAUGAACUACCAGGUGUUGAUGCUUCAGCCAUGGAAACCAGCUGAUGGAGUGAAAGGGAACAAUGAACAAACAAACUGUCAUUUAUUGUGUAUUUUCUCUUAUUUUCACCAUGGAUUAAAAAUAUAAAUCAUGCUUGUUAAUGUC
rnacentral:misc_RNA from 1 species